rnacentral:rRNA from 1 species
GAGGAAUAUUGGUCAAUGGACGAGAGUCUGAACCAGCCAAAUCGCGUGAAGGAAGACUGCCCUACGGGUUGUAAACUUCUUUUGUACAGGAAUAAAAGACAUUACGUGUAAUGUGUUGCAUGUACUGUACGAAUAAGCAUCGGCUAACUCCGUGCCAGCAGCCGCGGUAAUACGGAGGAUGCGAGCGUUAUCCGGAUUUAUUGGGUUUAAAGGGUGCGCAGGCGGGAUUUUAAGUCAGCGGUGAAAUUUUCAGGCUCAACCUGAACACUGCCGUUGAAACUGGGAUUCUUGAGUAUGGAUGAAGUAGGCGGAAUUCGUUGUGUAGCGGUGACAUGCUUAGAUAUAACGAGGAACUCCGAUUGCGUAGGCAGCUUACUAAGCCAUAACUGACGCUCAAGCACGAAAGCGUGGGGAUCAAACAGGA